GUUAUCAAAUACCGUAUUUUAGAGUGCCAGUAUUAUUUCAUGAUGACAUUACUCAACCACGAUAAGUACAGAUACUUACAUUAUUUCUAAAAAGAUAUAUACAAAUUGUUUUGUGUAAAAACUGAUUCUUUUAUUUGUUUCGACAAACAUUACGCGUGUUUUUUCUUAAGUAUUAUCAUUAUAUAAUAUAAUAAAACGGAAUUCACAGUGAAAUACCCACACCGAGUCUUGCAGUACGUACAGAGUAAGUCCAUAAAAGUAUAAUCAUAUUAGUUUAUGAGUGUAAUAUAGUGUUGUUUUUUUUUUUUUUUUUUUUAAAUAAAAAGUAACUUUUAAAAUUUAACCUAACUCGAGUGUUGUUAUUUUCUUGAAAAUUCGAAAUACUUAAUUUACGCCUACUUAAAUUCACUUUAAUAACACGUAGUUCGUUUUAUUAUUAUUAUUAUUAUUGUUU